UUCMACAGCUAAAAUCCGCAUGACGAUUGUUUUUCUGGAUACUUUCAGUAAUUCUGGAGMUAAUACGUACUCGUGCUUCGGCACCACUUAUUAGAUCGACCAACCGCUUCGGCGUUUUUGUGUUGACUCUGAAUAUUUUGCAGACCGCAUGCGUAAGCGGCGGCGUGUSAUGCGAUUAACUGCCCUAUCAACUUUUGAUGGUAGUUUAGUUGACUACCAUGGUGAUAACGGGUAACGGAGGAUCAGGGUUUGACUCCGGAGAGUAUGCCUGAGAGACGGCAAACACAUCUAAGGAAGGCAGCAGGCGCGCAAAUUACCCACUCUCAAUUCGAGGAGGUAGUGACAACAACUAACGAGACUGCUYCCUAUGGGWACARUCAUCGAAAUGGGUACAAUUUAAACCCUUUAACGAGGAUCURUGAGAGGGCAAGUSUGGUGCCAGCAGCCGCGGUAAUUCCAGCUCUCAAAGUGUAUGUCAUUAUKGCUGSGGUUAAAAAGCUCGUAGUUGGAUCYGAGCUCGUGAAUCCAGUCCACCUCUGUGUGGUACUGGCAUUCUGAGUUAARUUCGUCGGCUUGCYGGCGAGAGUKACUCUGAAUAAAUCGGAGUGCUCAAAACARGCGUUUCGCUUGAACGUUUUUGCAUGGAAUAAUGRAAAAGGAAUUCGAUUCCUUACUGUUGGUUUCGGAAUUGAAUUAAUGAWUAAGAGGGACCAACGGGGGCAUGYGUAUCSCUGCGCGAGAGGUGAAAUUCAUGGACCGCAGCGAGACGGCC
rnacentral:rRNA from 1 species